rnacentral:rRNA from 1 species
UUAGAAAAAGUUAAGGGCUUACAGAGGAUGCCUUGGCGCCAAAAAGCGAUGAAGGACGUGGCAAGCUGCGAUAAGCUUCGGGGAGUGGCACACACACUGUGAUCCGAAGAUGUCCGAAUGGGUAAACCUGCCGGUAUAUCCGGCACCUGAAAGUGAAUACAUAGCUUUCAGAGAGCGAACGGGGGGAAGUGAAACAUCUCAGUACCCUCAGGAAAAGAAAUCAAGUGAGAUUCCCUCAGUAGCGGCGAGCGAACGGGGAGAAGCCUAAACCCUUUGUAUGUUAAAGAUUCCAGUCUUUGUACAGAGGGGGUCAUGGGACUUUCAGGAACUGCUGGAACAGUUCCACGGAGUUACAAAAUCAGAUUUUAGCUGAAGGGUCUGGAAAGGCCUGCCAGAGAAGGUGAUAGCCCUGUGGGCGAAAAAAUCUGAUCUCCGGUAAAGGAUCCCGAGUACCACCGAGCACGUGGAAUUCGUUGGGAAUUUGGGGGGACCACCUUCCAAGGCUAAAUAUUCAUUGGCGACCGAUAGUGAACUCAGUACCGUGAGGGAAAGGUGAAAAGAACCCCGAGAGGGGAGUGAAAUAGAACCUGAAACUGUAAGCUUACAAGCAGUGGGAGCGCUAUGUUUUAUACAGCGUGACCGCGUACCUUUUGCAUAAUGAGCCAGCGAGUUAUUGUCACAGGCCAGGUUAAGCCGAAAGAGGUGGAGCCGUAGCGAAAGCGAGUCUGAAAUGGGCGUUUGUCUGUGGUGAUAGACCCGAAACCCGGUGAGCUACUUAUGGCCAGGGUGAAGCGUGGUUAACCCUGCGUGGAGGCCCGAACCAGUGAAGGUUGAAAGCUUCUUGGAUGAGCUGUGAGUAGGAGUGAAAGGCUAAUCAAACUGGGUGAUAGCUGGUUCUCCUCGAAAUAUAUUUAGGUAUAGCCUCGAAAGUAUUCUAUCCCGGAGGUAGAGCUCUGAAUGGGCUAGGGGUCUUACCAGAUUACCAAACCCAACCAAACUGCGAAUGCCGGUGAUAGUUAUUUCGGGAGUCAGUCAUGGGGUGAUAAGGUCCUGUGACGAAAGGGAAAGAGCCCAGACCAUCAGCUAAGGUCCCCAAAUCCAUACUCAGUGUAAAACGAUGUGAAGUUACUUAUACAACCAGGAGGUUGGCUUAGAAGCAGCAAUCCUUUAAAGAAAGCGUAAUAGCUCACUGGUCUAGUGAUUUUGCGCGGAAGAUGUAACGGGGCUAAGUAUGGUACCGAAGCUAUGGACUGUUUUUUAAACAGUGGUAGAGGAGCGUUGCGAUGAGAUUGAAGGUUGAUCGUGAGGACAGCUGGACGAAUCGCAAGUGAUCAUGCUGGCAUAAGUAACGUAAAAACAGAGGUGAAAAACCUCUGCGCCGAAAACUCAAGGAUUCCUGGGCCAGGAUAAUCCUCCCAGGGUUAGUCGGGACCUAAGGCGAGGCCAUAAGGCGUAGCCGAUGGACAAACGGUUAAUAUUCCGUUACCGGUUUUCUUUUAUAACAAAGGAGUGACGAACUAGGUAUUUCCAGCCUGUUAUUGGAUUCAGGUGUAAACUUGCAAGAAGUGAUGUUGGCAAAUCCGCAUCAUAAUUCUUAGGAGUGAAUGCGAGGGGACCUCGUCCCUGGAAGUGGAAGGAGCCAUGGUUCCAAGAAAAGCUUCGUUGUGUUUUGAAAACCGCCCGUACCCUAAACCGACUCAGGUGAGUGGGAUGAGUAUUCUCAGGCGAUUGGGAUAAAUUUGGUUAAGGAACUCGCCAAAUUGGCACCGUAACUUCGGGAGAAGGUGUGCCCUUUGAGGUGAAGUCCCUCGCGGAUGGAGCUUUGGAGGGUCGCAGUGACCAGGGAGUAGCGACUGUUUACCAAAAACACAAGGCUGUGCAAAAUCGCAAGAUGAAGUAUACAGCCUGACGCCUGCCCGGUGCCGGAAGGUUAAGAGGACCUGUUAGCUUCGGCGAAGCGGGAAAUUGAAGCCCCGGUAAACGGCGGCCGUAACUAUAACGGUCCUAAGGUAGCGAAACUCCUUGUCGGGUAAAUUCCGACCUGCAUGAAUGGCGUAACGACUUCUUCAGUGUCUCAACCAAAUACCCAGUGAACUUGAAUUCUCAGUGAAAAUGCUGAGUACCCGCGGAAAGACGGAAAGACCCCGUGAACCUUUACUCUAACUUGGCAGUGAUCUUAGAGUGAAUAUGUGUAGGAUAGGUGGGAGACAGUGAAGCCGGAACGCCAGUUCCGGUGGAGUCAACCUUGAAAUACCACCCGUAUUGAUUUUGAGCUCUAACCCACGCCCGUGAUCCGGGUGGGGGACCUUGCCAGGCGGGGAGUUUGGCUGGGGUGGCCGCCUCCUAAAAAGUAACGGAGGCGCGCGAAGGUUCCCUCAGUCUGAUUGGAAACCAGACGCUGAGUGCAUUGGCAUAAGGGAGCUUAACUGUAAGACAGGCAAGUCGAGCAGAUGCGAAAGCAGGCCAAAGUGAUCCGGUGGUCCCGAGUGGAAGGGCCAUCGCUCAACGGAUAAAAGGUACGCCGGGGAUAACAGGCUGAUACUGCCCAAGAGUCCAUAUCGACGGCAGUGUUUGGCACCUCGAUGUCGGCUCAUCUCAUCCUGGGGCUGGAGCAGGUCCCAAGGGUACGGC